GGAUUUCAGGUGAGGCAGAAGAUGCAGAGCAGCGCUAAACUCUUCCAGACAGCGAAAACCAACCUAUAAGAAGCAGGCAGUCUUCUCUGUGCAGUUACAGCUCUACCGGCCCUAGGUCCCAGCAGACAGGCAAGAGCCUGCACUGCUGGGUACAAGCCAGGUCGAUCUAUCAGAAACCCUUAUCCUGUCUCCAGUGAACACUGAGCUUUCACAGAACAAUUGUUGGAAUGUAAGGAGAAAGAGUUUUCUCUCUGAGACAAGGAAGGAGAAAAGACAGACCAACCUGGAUUUCCACUUUAUAUCUACCACUGAUGAGCUGUGUGACCUCGGGCAAGUGAACUAACCUCUCUGGUCCUGUUUUCUCAUCUGCAAAAAGGAAAUUCAAAGGAAGUCAAGUCUAUAUUGUAUGCACCUACUGCCAGAAAUGAGGAGCCUACAAAUGUUGGACAAAGCAAAAAACAUCUGGGCCUGGCCAUGACCUUGAAGAAUGGAGAUAUUAUGCUCUCUGAGCUUAGUCUUUUUGCUUGGAAUAAAACCAAAAC